GUCGAGCGAACAGACGAGGAGCUUGCUCCUCUGACGUUAGCGGCGGACGGGUGAGUAACACGUGGAUAACCUACCUAUAAGACUGGGAUAACUUCGGGAAACCGGAGCUAAUACCGGAUAAUAUAUUGAACCGCAUGGUUCAAUAGUGAAAGACGGUUUUGCUGUCACUUAUAGAUGGAUCCGCGCCGCAUUAGCUAGUUGGUAAGGUAACGGCUUACCAAGGCAACGAUGCGUAGCCGACCUGAGAGGGUGAUCGGCCACACUGGAACUGAGACACGGUCCAGACUCCUACGGGAGGCAGCAGUAGGGAAUCUUCCGCAAUGGGCGAAAGCCUGACGGAGCAACGCCGCGUGAGUGAUGAAGGUCUUCGGAUCGUAAAACUCUGUUAUUAGGGAAGAACAAAUGUGUAAGUAACUAUGCACGUCUUGACGGUACCUAAUCAGAAAGCCACGGCUAACUACGUGCCAGCAGCCGCGGUAAUACGUAGGUGGCAAGCGUUAUCCGGAAUUAUUGGGCGUAAAGCGCGCGUAGGCGGUUUUUUAAGUCUGAUGUGAAAGCCCACGGCUCAACCGUGGAGGGUCAUUGGAAACUGGAAAACUUGAGUGCAGAAGAGGAAAGUGGAAUUCCAUGUGUAGCGGUGAAAUGCGCAGAGAUAUGGAGGAACACCAGUGGCGAAGGCGACUUUCUGGUCUGUAACUGACGCUGAUGUGCGAAAGCGUGGGGAUCAAACAGGAUUAGAUACCCUGGUAGUCCACGCCGUAAACGAUGAGUGCUAAGUGUUAGGGGGUUUCCGCCCCUUAGUGCUGCAGCUAACGCAUUAAGCACUCCGCCUGGGGAGUACGACCGCAAGGUUGAAACUCAAAGGAAUUGACGGGGACCCGCACAAGCGGUGGAGCAUGUGGUUUAAUUCGAAGCAACGCGAAGAACCUUACCAAAUCUUGACAUCCUCUGACCCCUCUAGAGAUAGAGUUUUCCCCUUCGGGGGACAGAGUGACAGGUGGUGCAUGGUUGUCGUCAGCUCGUGUCGUGAGAUGUUGGGGUUAAGUCCCGCAACGAGCGCAACCCUUAAGCUUAGUUGCCAUCAUUAAGUUGGGCACUCUAAGUUGACUGCCGGUGACAAACCGGAGGAAAGGUGGGGGAUGACGUCAAAUCAUCAUGCCCCUUAUGAUUUGGG
rnacentral:rRNA from 1 species